UACGGAGGGUGCGAGCGUUAAUCGGAAUUACUGGGCGUAAAGCGCACGCAGGCGGUUUGUUAAGCUAGAUGUGAAAGCCCCGGGCUCAACCUGGGAUGGUCAUUUAGAACUGGCAGACUAGAGUCUUGGAGAGGGGAGUGGAAUUCCAGGUGUAGCGGUGAAAUGCGUAGAUAUCCGGAGGAACAUCAGUGGCGAAGGCGACUCCCUGGCCAAAGACUGACGCUCAUGUGCGAAAGUGUGGGUAGCGAACAGC
rnacentral:rRNA from 1 species